UCGGCUCACUCGCCCGUUGGCUGAUGGGAAAGGGCCAAAAUGGCGGCAGCCGGCGCCAGGGCUACUCGGUUGCUUCUGCUCUUGCUGAUGGCGGCCGCAGCCCCCAGCCGGGCGCGGGGCAGUGGCUGCCGGUCCGGGGCCGCUGUGCGGGGGGCCGGGGUAGAAGGUCGAGAGGGCGAGGGCUGUGGCACCGUGGGGCUGCUGCUGGAGCACUCAUUUGAGAUUGAUGACAACGCCCACUUCCGGAAGCGUGGCUCGAUACUCUGGAACCAGCAGGACAGCACCUUGUCUCUGUCGCAGCGGCAGCUCAAUGAAGAGGAGCGGGGCCGACUCCGGGAUGUGGCAGCCCUGAACGGCCUGUACCGAGUCCGGGUUCCGAGGAGGCCUGGGGCCUCUGAUGGCUCAGAAGCUGGUGGCUAUGUCUCCUCCUUCGUCCCCGCGUGCUCCCUGGUGGAGUCCCACCUCUCGGAUCAGCUGACGCUGCACGUGGAUGUGGCUGGCAACGUGGUGGGCCUGUCGGUGGUGACGCACCCCGGGGGCUGCCGGGGCCACGAGGUGGAGGACGUGGACCUGGAGCUGUUCAACACCUCUGUGCAGCUGCAGCCGCCGGUCACAGCCCCAGGCCCAGAGACGGCGGCCUUCAUUGAGCGCUUGGAGAUGGAGCAGGCCCAGAAGGCCAGGAACCCCCAGGAGCAGAAGUCCUUUUUCGCCAAAUAUCUCCGGUUCCGCCGCCCCGUGGGCCUGGCUGGUAUGCACAAGGGAGACGUCAAGCUGGAGCACCAAUGUCUUCCUCGCCGCCCCUCCAGGGAACAUGGACCCUUUCUCCAGUGGUGCCAGCUGGGGGCCCUGGGACAGCUGCACCCUGUGUGGGAAAACCCAGAGCUUCCCAGCUGAGAGGGAAGAGGAGAAAGAGGAAGCCGGCAAGGUGGAAGGGGUGGAGGAGCCGAGUUGAAGGAGAGGGGUCAGUGUGUCCCCGGAGCGGAAGGGGAAGGGGUAGGACAGCGUGAGGAGGGGUUCCCGUGCACAGGAAGAGCCUGGCACACCGUAAGUGCUCAAACGUGCCCCAUCGCAUCCUCGGGAGAGAAGAAACAAGUGAGAGGAGGCGAAGAAGUCGCCACAGAAGGAAAACGGAAACAGCCCGGAAGAGAGGGCUGCGGGUGCACAUUCAGGCACACAGAAGGGAGCCCAAAGCACAGAGAACCAGCAGGGGCGCAGGAAGGGGCUGGGGAGAGAACGGCGCGGGGAGAGGCAAGGAGGCAUUUCAG